GAUGUUCGGCAUUCAAAGUGCUUGUACCUUUGCUGGGAAAGUGACUGAAUUUGUCAGAAAAACAAGUGCAAAAAAAACGGUUAAAUCCAGGUCAAUGUAAUGGAAAAUCGAAGCCACA